GACGAACGCUGGCGGCGUGCCUAAUACAUGCAAGUCGAGCGAAUCACUAGGAGCUUGCUCCUGGUGGUUAGCGGCGGACGGGUGAGUAACACGUGGGCAACCUGCCUGUAAGACUGGGAUAACACCGGGAAACCGGUGCUAAUACCGGAUAAUCCUUUUCCUCUCAUGAGGAAAAGCUGAAAGUCGGUUUCGGCUGACACUUACAGAUGGGCCCGCGGCGCAUUAGCUAGUUGGUGAGGUAACGGCUCACCAAGGCGACGAUGCGUAGCCGACCUGAGAGGGUGAUCGGCCACACGGGGCCUGAGACACGGCCCAGACUCCUACGGGAGGCAGCAGUAGGGAAUCUUCCACAAUGGACGAAAGUCUGAUGGAGCAACGCCGCGUGAGCGAUGAAGGCCUUCGGGUCGUAAAGCUCUGUUGUUAGGGAAGAACAAGUACCGGAGUAACUGCCGGUACCUUGACGGUACCUAACCAGAAAGCCACGGCUAACUACGUGCCAGCCGCCGCCGUAA
rnacentral:rRNA from 1 species